UACCAGCACCCCGAGUGGUCGGGACGAUUAUUGGGCCUAAAGCAUCCGUAGCCGGUUUUACAAGUCCUCCGUUAAAUCCAGCUGCUUAACAGAUGGGCUGCGGAGGAUACUAUAAGACUAGGAGGCAGGAGAGGCAAGCGGUACUCAGUGGGUAGGGGUAAAAUCCGUUGAUCCAUUGAAGACCACCAGUGGCGAAGGCGGCUUGCCAGAAUGCGCUCGACGGUGAGGGAUGAAAGCUGGGGGAGCAAACCGGAUUAAGAA
rnacentral:rRNA from 1 species